rnacentral:sRNA from 1 species
ACAUGACAAGCGGGGAUUAAAUUCGGAUAGUUCAUCUUGAUUUUUGCUGUCUGGAAUAAAAAAAGGUGAUUGAUUAUCCUCUACCAUAGAGUAGACCAAGCAGAUCUAUAUACGCCGCUGGAAUCCCGUCAUAGGCCACCACCACCUUCAACCUUGGUAAAGAGCAGAAACCGACGCAAAAGCAGAAAACAAAAAGGAUAUAUAUAGUAUAACCUGUCGGCUUCUGUUAGAUCGCAAGAUUAAAACCCACGUAGCAGAAUUCCACACUUGAUUGUUAUAAUUUAUAAACGAAAGAAAACCCCAUUUGAGAACCGAGGCCGUUAACGUUCAUCCUCAUCCAUCAGCUCUGGCACAAAUCAUACUCAGCUAUAUACAAUUCGUUUCUCUCAACGAAUCCAAAACGUUAACCAUGAAACAUGAAGAGUAAUCGCACAUCAUAUCAUCAGUCAAUCAAACAGGCAAAAAGAAAGAGAGAGAGGCAGAUAAAACGCAUGUAGACGGUACGGAUAAAGGGGCUCCUCCCGGUGAGGGGAGGAGUGACGAUUGGUCUGCUAUCAACCGACGGCAAUUUCAUUUCGGCAACAGUAAAAAGCCAAAAGGUAAAUGGACGGUUUUUUUCUUUCUUUUCUUCUUUUUUUAAAGCAUGGGAUGGGUGGUGAAGUGCUCGAACACUGAAUAGAAACGCAUCGAACGUGGUGUUGUGUAUAAGCAGGAAAAGGGACGAGUGUAGUACGGGGAGAUGAAGUGGCAACGCAACAAUCGAGAAAAAACGUCUUUUAAAAAGAAAGAAAAAAACUCCAAAAAAAAAAAAAAACUCCGAAAGGAAAACAAUUUAAAAAAAAACCAAUAAAUAGCAGUGAAAAUACCAUGUAAAAAGAGAGUGUAGAG